rnacentral:rRNA from 1 species
CGGGACGGGUGAGUAAUGUCUGGGAAACUGCCUGAUGGAGGGGGAUAACUACUGGAAACGGUAGCUAAUACCGCAUAACGUCGCAAGACCAAAGAGGGGGACCUUAGGGCCUCUUGCCAUCGGAUGUGCCCAGAUGGGAUUAGCUAGUAGGUGGGGUAACGGCUCACCUAGGCGACGAUCCCUAGCUGGUCUGAGAGGAUGAUCAGCCACACUGGGACUGAGACACGGCCCAG